GCGAGCAAGAAAUGUGUUUGGACGUGAGCCAAUGAGCUGCUGCGAUUUUUGCUAGGCAGCCCGUGGCAGGAGGUCACUGAUUCAGGCCCUAUAUGCAGGAACUUGCUGGGGGUUAUCAGGGAAGGCUUCCCGGAAGAGGGAAAGCAAGGUGAGGUUUCGUGGUGGGGGUGAACCAGCCAGAGGAAUGACAAGGGGACAGCAGAAGAGCAGAGAUGUGCAAGUCUGUAGGCUGGCUGGGCCUCAGGACAGGACACUGGGACAAAAACUCAGAGUGGCCAAAGCCCAGGAUGUGCGGACCUAAGGGGAAACAGUCUCCUGCCGCGUCCCCUCGGCAGCCCAGAAGCCUCGGCGGAUGAAGGGCGCUUCUCUGUCUCUUCCUAGUCCCUCUUCCAGGCUUGCUGCAGCCCGAUCACUGGGCACCGCGUGUCCAAAUCCCCUCCUGGAGGACGUAGGUUCUCUGCAUGCAGAAUAUCUCCAAAGAUCUGUCAUCUUUCCUAUUCAUUCUGGAGACCAGAGCAUGAGAUCAGGUCUCUGUGGGAUUCGGGGCUACUAACACGCCUGCUGCUGACGGAGGGCCUACUGUGCGCCAGGUAGUUACAUAUCCGUCCAUCCACUCACACCUUUCAUGGAGCACCUGCCAUGGGCCUCGCCCCGUGCUGAGACCUGGGAAGACAACGGGAAUUGAGACACAUGUGGUCCCCACCCUCACGAGGCUCAUGUGCAGGUGAAGAAGAUGGGGAGUAAAAACGGCUCAAAGGGGCAAACAAGUGACAUCAUGAGACAAUCCGGUACGUGCCAUUUUACAGCCAAGAAAACUGAGGCCCAGGGAGGGG
rnacentral:lncRNA from 1 species